rnacentral:lncRNA from 1 species
GGGAGGCUUUUUUGAAACAUGAAGGCAAAAUUUGAUAUACACACUUGCCGCUUCAAGACAUGCCAAUUGGAGUGUACUUUUAGUACCAUAUAUACAGUACUGUAUACUAUGUAUAGAGAGAGAUGGAGAUGCACUUGUACUAUUGUGUUAUUCCUUUGGGGCCAGUAUAAAUUAAGUAUCCAUCACUUUGUUUUAAACGAACAAAGUAUGUGCAGGAUUGCAGGAACAUGCAUGCUAUGCUAGCCUGUUCGCCGGCAAAAAGCAGUGUGAAUGAGCAAAGUAUUCC